rnacentral:rRNA from 1 species
UUCCGGUUGAUCCUGCCAGAGGCUACUGCUAUUGGGGUUCGACUAAGCCAUGCGAGUGGUGGGUGCGGUCGCAAGAUCGUGGCCCAGCACACGGCUCAGUAACACGCCGUCAACCUACCCUGGGGAGGGAGAUAACCUCGGGAAACUGAGGACAAUAUUCCAUAGGUGAGGGAGGCUGGAAUGCACCCUUGCUGAAAGCCUUCGGGCACCCUAGGAUGGGACGGCGGCCUAUCAGGUAGUUGGCGGUGUAACGGACCACCAAGCCUACGACGGGUACGGGCGAUGGGAGUCGGAGCCCGGAGAUGGGGACUGAGACAAGGCCCCAGGCCCUACGGGGCGCAGCAGGCGCGAAACCUUCGCAAUGCGCGAAAGCGUGACGAGGGAACCCCAAGUGCCGUUGGAUUUUAUUCGACGGCUUUUUUGAAGUCCAAACAGCUUCAGGAAUAAGGGCUGGGUAAGUCGGGUGCCAGCCGCCGCGGUAAUACCCGCAGCCCGAGUGGUGGCCGGGAUUAUUGGGCCUAAAGCGCUCGUAGCCGGGUCUGCAAGUCCCUUGUGAAAUCGGCCAGGAGACUGGUCGGCGUGCGAGGGAUACUGCAGGUCUAGAGGCCGGGAGACGCCAAGGGUACUUCGGGGGUAGCAGUGAAAUGCUCUAAUCCUCGAGGGACCACCAGUGGCGAAGGCGCUUGGCGAGAACGGACCUGACGGUGAGGGGCGAAGGCUAGGGGAGCGAACGGGAUUAGAUACCCCGGUAGUCCUAGCUGUAAAGGAUGCGGGCCAGGUGUUGAUUGCCCCUAGAGGGCACUCGGUGCCGGAGGGAAGUCGUUAAGCCCGCCGCCUGGGAAGUACGGCCGCAAGACUGAAACUUAAAGGAAUUGGCGGGGGAGCACCACAACGCGUGGAGCCUGCGGUUUAAUUGGAGUCAACGCCGGA